rnacentral:rRNA from 1 species
AUGAACGCUGGCGGUAUGCUUUACACAUGCGAGUCGAACGUGUAUCUUUUUUAAGAUGGGCGUGGCGAACGGGUGAGUAGUACAGAGGUACUUUCCUUACAAUCCCUAGAUAAGAUGAAGAUAAGCUGGGAUAAACCUUACGUAAUCAGAAUUUGAUUUUUAGGUAAAGGCAUGGUCCGUUGUAAGAUAGGCUUCUGCAGGAUUAGGUAGUUGGCGGGGUAAUGGCCCACCAAGCCGAAGAUCCUUAGCUGGUCUGAGAGGACGUACAGCCACAUUGGGUAUGAGAACGGCCCAAACUCCUUUGGGAGGCAGCAGUGGGGAAUAUUGGACAAUAGGCGAAAGCUUGAUCCAGCAAUACCGCGUGAGUGAAGACAUUUUUUAGGUGUAAAACUCUUUCGGCGAUGAAAAAAUUGAUUGUAAUCGCAAAAGAAGUCCCGGCUAAUUCCGU